ACUACGGGAGGCAGCAGUGAGGAAUAUUGGUCAAUGGGCGGAAGCCUGAACCAGCCAAGUAGCGUGCAGGAUGACGGCCCUACGGGUUGUAAACUGCUUUUAUACGGGAAUAACGCGCCUUACGUGUAGGGCUUUGCAUGUACCGUAUGAAUAAGGACCGGCUAAUUCCGUGCCAGCAGCCGCGGUAAUACGGGAGGUCCGGGCGUUAUCAGGAUUUAUUGGGGUUAAAGGGAGCGUAGGCCGCAUGUCAAGCGUGCUGUGAAAUGGCCGGGCUCAACCCGGGCCUUGCAGCGCGAACGGGCGUGCUUGAGUCCGCGGAAAGCAGGCGGAAUUCGUCGUGGAGCGGUGAAAUGCUUAGAUAUGACGAAGAACCCCGAUUGCGAAGGCAGCUUGCUGCAGCGGAACUGACGCUGAUGCUCGAAAGCGCGGGUAUCGAACAGGAUUAGAUACCCCUGUAGUC
rnacentral:rRNA from 1 species